AACGAACGCUGGCGGCGUGGUUUAGGCAUGCAAGUCGAGCGAGAAAGUCCUUCGGGACGAGUACAGCGGCGAAAGGGUGAGUAAUAUAUAGGUAACCUACCUCUUGGACUCGGAUAAUUCCUGGAAACGGGUUGUAAUACGAGAUCGUCCUAUUGGGUCGCAUGGCCCGACUGGUAAAUGGUAGCUCUGCUUCUGCCGAGAGAGGGGCCUAUAUCCUAUUAGCUAGUUGGUGAGGUAAUGGCUCACCAAGGCUUUGAUGGGUAGCCGGACUGAGAGGUUGGCCGGUCACACUGGGACUGAGACACUGCCCAGACUCCUACGGGAGGCUGCAGUCGAGAAUCUUCCGCAAUGGGCGAAAGCCUGACGGGGCGACGCCGCGUGAACGAAGAAGGCC
rnacentral:rRNA from 1 species